UUGUGUUUCCAAAAUUGAUAGCACAUUGAUAGAUUAUAUGAGAGGGUGAAGAAAAAAAGUAAGGGUAUGUUGAUGAAUGAUGAAAAAGGAAACGAUACUAGUCUCGUGUGGCUUUUGCACCGACACAAAACUUAAAAUUGCAAUCUUGCUUACGCAGAAACCUUUAAAACUCUAAACUCACGGGAAACAAUCCCUUCUCACUUUUUUUCCUCUUUUAUGCUCUCUCUUAAACCAUGAAUAAAAGUAAAUCAUUCUUUGCUUCUCUUCCUCUCUUUCACUUUUUUAUGUCAUAUUCGGAUGCUUUACACAUUUUUCCUUUAUACUUAAGUCAAAAAAAUAUAACAUAAUCAACUUAAACGUACCC
rnacentral:lncRNA from 1 species